rnacentral:rRNA from 1 species
CCUACGGGUGGCAGCAGUGGGGAAUAUUGCGCAAUGGGCGAAAGCCUGACGCAGCGACGCCGCGUGAGGGAUGAAGGUCCUCGGAUCGUAAACCCCUGUCAGCAGGGAAGAACGGUCACUGUGCUAAUCAGCAGCGAAUUGACGGUACCUGCAAAGGAAGCACCGGCUUACUCCGUGCCAGCAGCCGCGGUAAUACGGAGGGUGCGUGCGUUAAUCGGAAUUUCUGGGCGUAAAGCGCUCGGAGGCGGUAUGUUAAGUCAAGGGUGAAAUCCCCGCGCUCAACGUGGGAACUGCCUUUGAAACUGGCAAACUGGAGUGUGUGAGAGGAAAGUGGAAUGCCAGGUGUAGGAGUGAA